CGUAGGGGGAACCUGCGGAGGGAUCAUUACUGAGUUUACGCUCUACAACCCUUUGUGAACAUACCUAUAACUGUUGCUUCGGCGGGUAGGGUCUCCGCGACCCUCCCGGCCUCCCGCCUCCGGGCGGGUCGGCGCCCGCCGGAGGAUAACCAAACUCUGAUUUAACGACGUUUCUUCUGAGUGGUACAAGCAAAUAAUCAAAACUUUUAACAACGGAUCUCUUGGUUCUGGCAUCGAUGAAGAACGCAGCGAAAUGCGAUAAGUAAUGUGAAUUGCAGAAUUCAGUGAAUCAUCGAAUCUUUGAACGCACAUUGCGCCCGCCAGCAUUCUGGCGGGCAUGCCUGUUCGAGCGUCAUUUCAACCCUCAAGCUCUGCUUGGUGUUGGGGCCCUACAGCUGAUGUAGGCCCUCAAAGGUAGUGGCGGACCCUCCCGGAGCCUCCUUUGCGUAGUAACUUUACGUCUCGCACUGGGAUCCGGAGGGACUCUUGCCGUAAAACCCCCAAUUUUCCAAAGGUUGACCUCGGAUCAGGUAGGAAUACCCGCUGAACUUAAGCAUAUCAAUAAGCGGAGGAA
rnacentral:rRNA from 1 species